rnacentral:rRNA from 1 species
AAUCAACGCUGGCGGCGUGCCUCAGACAUGCAAGUCGAACGCGAAAGGCUCCUUCGGGGGCCGAGUAGAGUGGCGCACGGGUGAGUAACACGUAGGUAAUUUGCCUUUGGGUGGGGAAUAACUCAGGGAAACUUGAGCUAAUACCGCAUAAUGCAGCGGCUCGACAUCGAGACAGUUGUUAAAGCGGGGGAUCGCAAGACCUCGCGCCUGAAGAGAAAGCCUGCGGCAGAUUAGCUAGUUGGUAGGGUAAUGGCCUACCAAGGCGACGAUCUGUAACCGGCCUGAGAGGGCGGUCGGUCACACUGACACUGACAUACGGGUCAGACUCCUACGGGAGGCAGCAGUCGGGAAUUUUGGGCAAUGGGCGCAAGCCUGACCCAGCAACGCCGCGUGAAGGAUGAAAUCCCUC